CGUACGUGUUUUGUAAGCGCUUUACGUGUGCGUGCGUGCGUCCGUGCGUUUUUUCUGAGCGCUGUGUACGUGCGUUCGUGCAUAUUUUUUGAGUGUUUUGUAUGUGUGCGUGCGCGCGCGCGUGUGCUUGUAUGCGGGUCUCUAUGUGCUUGCGCGUGCGUGCGUUCGUGCGUGUUUUGUGAGCGCUUUGUAUGUGCGCGCGUGCCUGUUGUAUAAGUGCUUUGCAUGUGUGCGUGCGCGCGCGCGCGUUGCUGCUUUGCGAGCGUUUUGCUUGUGCGCGCGUGCUUGUAUGUGGGUCUCUAUGUGCUUGCGCGUGCGUUCGUGCGUGCGUGUUUUGUGAGUGCUAUGUAUGUGCGUGCGCGCGCGCGCGCGUACGUGUUUUGUGAGUUUUCUGCGGGGGCGCGCGUGCUUGUGUGUGUGUGUGUAUUGAAUAAAGUCGGUAGCUUUACACGCAAUAAACCUCUUCAAAAUUGGUGCAGCGGCUGUCCCCGCCCUGAAAACCGAAUUUGGUGUCGAGCCACUCUGGAAUAUAUGGAGGCGCCGGAGGACCAGUGGAAGGUGUCAUCCAGAUGACAGCCUCACAAUUCGCAGCCUUUGUGCUCUCCAUCAGAAACCCAUCAGGGGCAAGCCACUUAUCUUUGCCUUCAGACAAGACAACAUUGAAGCAGGAUUCCAGCACAGCCAUCUCCUGCACUUAUGGUCAAGAUGCUCAGACAAUGGAGUCCCUGUUCCUUGUGGUUAACCGUGAACAGUAUUCUCGCUUUUAUGAAAGCUAAAGGUGAUUUCCUGCAUAAAUUAGGAUUUUGCA